CCUACGGGAGGCAGCAGUGGGGAAUAUUGCGCAAUGAGCGAAAGCCUGACGCAGCGACGCAGCGUGCGGGAUGAAGGUCUUCGGAUCGUAAACCUCUGUCAGCAGGGAAGAACGGUCACUGUGCUAAACAGCAGUGAAUUGACGGUACCUGCAAAGGAAGCACCGGCUAACUACGUGCCAGCAGCCGCGGUAAUACGGAGGGUGCGAGCGUUAAUCGGAAUUAAUGGGCGUAAAGCGCUCGUAGGCGGUAUGUCAAGUCAAGGGUGAAAUCCCCGCGCUCAACGUGGGAACUGCUUUUGAAACUGGCAAACUGGAGUGUGUUAGAGGAUAGUGGAAUUCCAGGUGUAGGAGUGAAAUGCGUAGAUAUCUGGAGGAACAUCAGUGGCGAAGGCGACUAUCUGGCACAUAACUGACGCUGAGGAGCGAAAGCGUGGGUAGCAAACAGGAUUAGAUACCCGAGUAGUC
rnacentral:rRNA from 1 species